UGGGGAAUUUUGGACAAUGGGCGAAAGCCUGAUCCAGCAAUGCCGCGUGUGUGAAGAAGGCCUUCGGGUUGUAAAGCACUUUUGUCCGGAAAAGAAAAUCCUUGGCUCUAAUACAGUCGGGGGAUGACGGUACCGGAAGAAUAAGCACCGGCUAACUACGUGCCAGCAGCCGCGGUAAUACGUAGGGUGCAAGCGUUAAUCGGAAUUACUGGGCGUAAAGCGUGCGCAGGCGGUUUGCUAAGACCGAUGUGAAAUCCCCGGGCUCAACCUGGGAACUGCAUUGGUGACUGGCAGGCUAGAGUAUGGCAGAGGGGGGUAGAAUUCCACGUGUAGCAGUGAAAUGCGUAGAGAUGUGGAGGAAUACCGAUGGCGAAGGCAGCCCCCUGGGCCAAUACUGACGCUCAUGCACGAAAGCGUGGGGAGCAAACAGGAUUAGAUACCCUGGUAGUCCACGCCCUAAACGAUGUCAACUAGUUGUUGGGGAUUCAUUUCCUUAGUAACGUAGCUAACGCGUGAAGUUGACCGCCUGGGGAGUACGGUCGCAAGAUUAAAACUCAAAUGAAUUGACGGGGUCAUAGCUGUUUCCU
rnacentral:rRNA from 1 species